GACAGAGGGUGCAAACGUUGUUCGGAAUUACUGGGCGUAAAGCGCGUGUAGGCGGCCCUGCAAGUCGGAUGUGAAAUCCCACGGCUCAACCGUGGAAGUGCAUUCGAAACUGCAGGGCUAGAGUCCUGGAGAGGAAGGUGGAAUGCUUGGUGUAGAGGUGAAAUUCGUAGAUAUCAAGCGGAACACCGGUGGCGAAGGCGGCCUUCUGGACAGUGACUGACGCUGAGACGCGAAAGCGUGGGGAGCAAACAGGG
rnacentral:rRNA from 1 species